GUCGAACGGUAACGCGGGCUUCGGCCUGGCGACGAGUGGCGGACGGGUGAGUAAUGCAUCGGAACGUAUCCUUUUGUGGGGGAUAGCCCGGCGAAAGCCGGAUUAAUACCGCAUAAGCUCUGAGGAGGAAAGUGGGGGACCUUCGGGCCUCACGCUGAAGGAGCGGCCGAUGUCAGAUUAGCUAGUUGGUGGGGUAAAGGCCUACCAAGGCGACGAUCUGUAGCUGGUCUGAGAGGACGAACAGCCACACUGGGACUGAGACACGGCCCAGACUCCUACGGGAGGCAGCAGUGGGGAAUAUUGGACAAUGGGCGAAAGCCUGAUCCAGCAAUGCCGCGUGUGUGAAGAAGGCCUGCGGGUUGUAAGGCACUUUCAGUUGGGAAGAUGAUGACGUUACCAACAGAAGAAGCACCGGCUAAAUCCGUGCCAGCAGCCGCGGUAAUACGGAUGGUGCGAGCGUUAAUCGGAAUUACUGGGCGUAAAGCGCGCGUAGGCGGCUAAGUCAGUCAGAAGUGAAAGCCCCGGGCUCAACCUGGGAAUUGCUUUUGAUACUGCUUAGCUAGAGUUUGGUAGAGGAUAGUGGAAUUUCAGGUGUAGCGGUGAAAUGCGUAGAUAUCUGAAGGAACAUCAGUGGCGAAGGCGACUGUCUGGACCAAAACUGACGCUGAGGUGCGAAAGCGUGGGUAGCAAACAGGAUUAGAUACCCUGGUAGAAGGGC
rnacentral:rRNA from 1 species